AAGUGCUGCGAUUACAGGCGUGAGCUACUGUGCCUGGCCUCAAUGAAUUAAGUAGACUGGCUGGACAGAUUCGAAGGUUGUAUGGUUCAAACAAAAAAGCUGACAGGCCAUUUUGGAUCUGCCUCACUGGAUUCACAACAGACAGUCCCCUUUAUGAAGAGUGUGUGAGGAUGAAUGAUGGAUUUUCUAGUUACCUGUUAGACAUAACAGAAGAAGACUGCUUUAGUUUAUUUCCCUUGGAAACCCUUGUGUACCUGACUCCUGACUCAGAACACGCUCUUGAAGAUGUUGAUCUAAACAAAGUUUACAUCCUCGGUGGGCUUGUGGAUGAAAGCAUUCAGAAGGUAAGUAUACAUUUCA
rnacentral:lncRNA from 1 species